rnacentral:rRNA from 1 species
CUUGACGACCAUAGAGCAUUGGAACCACCUGAUCCCAUCCCGAACUCAGUAGUGAAACGAUGCAUCGCCGAUGGUAGUGUGGGGUUUCCCC